rnacentral:rRNA from 1 species
GCAUAAUCACUUGCCCCCUAAUUAGGGGCUAGCAUGAAUGGACAAACGAGAUUAUAGCUGUCUCCUCUACACCCAUAAAAAUUAAUCUACAGGUGAAGAAGCCUGUAUCCAUAUAAAAGACAAGAAGACCCUGUCGAGCUUUAAUUAUUUAUAAAAUAUAGUAACCCUACUCAAUACUCCCUUUUAUAAAUAACUUUUGUUGGGGCGACAAUGGAAUAAAUAAAACCUCCACCAUACUCAAAACACCAAGUUUCUCAAAAGAUCCUCUACAGAUACCAGGCAUCAGCUACCGCAGGGAUAACAGACUAAUCUUCCUUAAGAGCCCAAAUCUACAGGAAGGCUUGG